rnacentral:rRNA from 1 species
ACGUAGGUUCCGAGCGUUAUCCGGAUUUACUGGGCGUAAAGCGUGUUCAGGCGGCUUAGCAAGUCGGGCAUGAAAUCUCUCGGCUCAACCGGGAGGGGCUGUCCGAUACUGCUGGGCUUGAGGGCAGUAGAGGGUGGUGGAAUUCCGGGUGUAGUGGUGAAAUGCGUAGAUAUCCGGAGGAACACCAGUGGCGAAAGCGGCCACCUGGACUGUACCUGACGCUCAAACACGAAAGCUAGGGGAGCGAACGGGA